UUUCCGUAGGUGAACCUGCGGAAGGAUCAUUGUCGAAACCUGCAAAGACAGAACGACCCGCGAAUCGGUUUAAGAUUUACUCACCUGUCCCCGGCCAAGGUUGCGGUGGAAAUCCGCAUCCCUGGCCAGGCGGGCAGGACUAACAAACCCCGGCGCAAGUCGCGCCAAGGAAACCGGAGAAAAGAUGGGCUCCCCUCGCGUCGGAAACGGUGCGUGCGGAGUCACGUCGUAGUUAUCGUAUUCCAAACGACUCUCGGCAACGGAUAUCUCGGCUCUCGCAUCGAUGAAGAACGUAGCGAAAUGCGAUACUUGGUGUGAAUUGCAGAAUCCCGAGAACCAUCGAGUUUUUGAACGCAAGUUGCGCCCAAAGCCGUCAGGCCGAGGGCACGCCUGCCUGGGUGUCACGAAAAGUCGUCGAAUCUCCCCCUCCCCGCGAGGGACGACGGACGUUGGCCUCCCGUGGUCUCACGGGCGCGGUUGGCCCAAAAGCUAGGCAUGCCCCCGCGAGGCGGCCACGACGCACGGUGGUUGAAAGCGCACGCUCUCCUCGAACACCGUCGUGGCCCGGCCUCGUUGACGGGGAGCCAGAGACCCCGACGCACGGCGUCGCCAUCACGAUGCGACCCCAGGUCAGGCGGGAACACCCGCUGAGUUUAAG
rnacentral:rRNA from 1 species